rnacentral:tRNA from 1 species
GGGGGUAUAGCUCAGAUGGGAGAGCGCUUGCGUGGCACGCAAGAGGUCGGCGGUUCGAUCCCGCCUAUCUCCACCA